rnacentral:rRNA from 1 species
AUGUCCUCGUACUACACCAAGCAUAACCACAAGAACGCUCGUGCCACAGCAGCGCCCAGGCCGUUCACCAUCGGCACCAUAGUCCGUUCACGGCUGACUAUCGAGGCCGUUCACCGCCAACACCUGAGGCCGUUCGUCGAUGGAACAAUGAGGCUGCAUUCUCCUCCAGCACCAGGCCAGUGCUAUGGUGAACAUUCAAGGCAACAAAGCACACCACAGGUCGCAGUGCUGCCGCCGACCACAUGUGUGCAUGCGUGCGAUUGGUGCGUAUGUGCUUUAGGUAUAACUGCUGCAGCACUUCAGAAAUAUGAACAAACAAAGCUCAAAGCAAAGUGCUAUUAA